rnacentral:misc_RNA from 1 species
GGUUUAUCUAAAAGUAGCAUAAUGCCAUUAUUUUUUAUGAUGAGUUUGCUAGACUUAGGGGUGCUAGUCUAGUGAUCAUGAGUUUUGCUCAUGAAUCUAUCAGUGCUUACUCUGCUCUUGGCAUUGGGGCAAAGGGUACGGCUUGCCGUGAAUGGGUGUGGUUAGGUUGGAAUCCUCUAGUGAUAUUAAACUCAGUACUGAUGGGUCGCGUGAUAACUCCACUGGUUAUGCUUCUACUGGUGGUGUUAUCAGGAUUGUGUGGGCUCUUAGAUAGGAGAUUUUGUUGUCAACUUGGGUUUUUGCCCUAUAGUCAUGGCAGAAUUGUGGGGUUUGUAUCUUGGAUAGCAAUAUGCUUGCAACAAGGGAAUUACAGUGGUGAACAUGGAGUUGGAUAGUGCUACUGCUGUUGCACUAUAUCAGCAAAGAGGUCGUUCAUAAUUCAUCGGCUAGUCUUCUUCGUAGCAUUAAAAAGCUUCUCUAAAGAGAUUGGGUUGCUGAUGUCAAGCAUGUGCAUAGAGAGUAAUCAUUGUGCUGACUAGAUGGCGCACCUGAGUAGUUCUAUUCCAUUGGGCUUUCAAUGUAUAAGGCUCCUCAUGUGGGAGUGAGCUCUUUGCUGCUUCAUAACAUUUGUGGGAUCUCUUAUCCCAGGUUUUGUGUGAGGCAGAAGUGAAUUGUAC